UACGGAGGGAGCUAGUGUUGUUCGGAAUUACUGGGCGUAAAGCGCACGUAGGCGGCCAUUCAAGUCAGAGGUGAAAGCCCGGGGCUCAACCCCGGAACUGCCUUUGAAACUAGAUGGCUUGAAUCUUGGAGAGGCGAGUGGAAUUCCGAGUGUAGAGGUGAAAUUCGUAGAUAUUCGGAAGAACACCAGUGGCGAAGGCGACUCGCUGGACAAGUAUUGACGCUGAGGUGCGAAAGCGUGGGGAGCAAACAGG
rnacentral:rRNA from 1 species